AUUGUAACAAGUUGUGCCAGGUGUUACAAAGAAAAGAAAGAGGACACUAUUAGAAGAGGGCAGAAGGUGGGGCUGAAAGUUUCAACCCUCUAAUCACAUGGUUGGUUCGUCUGGCAAUCCACCCCAUCCUAAAGCUAUCCAGGGACUCAACAAGAAUCAACUCAUUAGCAUAAACUCAGGUAUGGUUGAAAGAGGGCUUAUUAUGAAAUACCAAAGAUUCUCCUCUUACUCUUUUCACUUCGGAAAUUCCAAGAGUUUUAGAGGCUCUUAUACCAGGAACCAGGGAUGAACACCAUGUAUGUAUUUCUUAUGAACACCAAAUACAUAUUUCUUAUAUCACAAUAUCACAGCUGAACAGGUGUUUUUAAUGGAGUCCAGCUUAUCAAUUUUUUUUCCAUGGGUCAUGCCUUUGGUGCUAUAUCUAAGGUCAUUGCCAUACCCAAGGUCAUCUAGACUUUCUCUUUUGUUAUCUUCUAGGGGUCUUACCAUUUUGCAUUUUAAACUUAGUUCUAUGAUCCACUUAGAGUUAAUUUUUAUGAAGGAUAUAAGGUCUGUGUCUAUAUCCUUUUUUUUUUUUAAACAUGUAUGUGUCCAGUUUUACCAGACCAUUUGCUGAAAAGACUAUCUUUCUCCACUGUAUGGUCAACUCAUUUAUUUUUAAUUCCAUGCAGCUAUCUCUUUGGCUAAGGAAUGUAGAUAGUAUGAGAAUAGUGACUCUAUAAUGAUUGUUUGAGGAGGCAAGUACAAGUAAUCAGCUCAGUGAUUUUCCUUUACGUGACACCAUAGGCACAUUCCAACAUUCCAGCAAAGCUCACUCUCCUCUCUCCUUGAGCCCCAGGGAGACGCAGAGCCCUGAUGAUCCUGUUAGCCCUGAAUUGAGCCAACUUGAAGACUUUUCAGUAAGGUGACCCAUUAAGUCCUUUUGCUAAGCUGGUCUGGAAAGAUAAUGAGAUCGCCUUUUCCUUUCUAACUCUACCCUGCUGUGUUCUUUCUCUUCCUUUAGGUGAACACAAUGUUCAAGAGAAAUAACCUUUGGGGGAAACUGCGUGGUUUUAAAGCCCUUACCCAGUUACCAGUAUCUAUAUAAUGUCAGACAGUUACAUAUUUGGAAAUAUAAGGACUAGUAACUGGAUCUGACCAAGUCCUAGUUCUGUCACUCAUUAGCUGUGCAGCUGAAGACAGGUGUUUUUUUUCUCCCCCUUCUAACAUUUUCAGUUUCUUCACCUUCAGGGUGUGUGUUCUUACUGUUGUAGGUCCAAGUUUAUCAUGUCUUUUAAAUUGCAAAGCUUUUCUAAAUAUCUGCACUGUAAAUUUUUCUUUUUAAAAUGAUAGUUGAUUUACACAGUUGUGCCAAUUGCUGCUGUACAGAAAAGUGACUCAGUCAUACAUACAUAUACAUUCCCUUUCUUAUAUUAUCUUCCAUCAUGGUCUAUCCCAAGAGACUGGAUAUAGUUCCCUAGGCACUGUAAAUUUUUCUUGAGAGAGAAAUUCAUAGCUUUAUAUAAUUCCCAAGUUUGGGCUUUGUGACUUCAGACUUAAACUCUAGAAUAUGGUCUUGUCAUUCUCUUAAUACAUCAAAAAAAUGUUUUGGCAACUUAUAGGCAAUAUCAGAGACCCUCUCCCCCCCCCCCCCCCCAGCAUAAUGUUGAGUAUGUUCUUUAAGGAAAGAGUUCUUUAAUUCUAUUAAAGUUUUAUUAGUGCUCUGUCUUUUUUGGUAAGUUUUUGGGGCCAGUGUGUCCUAGGACAAACCAGAGUCCUUGGGCAGCAGGGAAAGCCUCGCCCUGCCCCAAGUGGGAGGGCCAUGGGACAUGGAAAAAAUGUCAAGUUGAAAUUGUAAAUAGUCAGGAGAGGCCCAAAUUUCUAGAAUGGAAAGAGUAAGGUUUUGUUUUGUUUUUCCCAGAAAUGCAAAAACAUUAGUAAGAGCUCAGAUGGACUCUGUGCCUCUCUUCACUGCUCUGAUAAUGGGCAGCCCAGGGUGAACUCUUCUGGGCAAAUGCAGUAUCUUGAGAGAACAUACUCAGUGCCAUGUACAUGCAGCUCUGAUCACAGCUUCUGCUCCUGAGUUGACAGGUGUGUCCUAUGCAUUGGGUUAGGGUUUUGCUGUUGAAAAUUUUGCCUAAAAUAUGGUUGAUCCAUCCAAUUCCAGGAGUGUGGAUAUCUUUGAUUUGGAAUUCUAUAACCUUUCAAAAAAGGGGUAGAUGUUUAAUGAAUCGCUCUAAAUUUUCCUUUUCUCCUAGGCUCCUCCUUAUUACUAGCUGUAAGACUCGGGGGUGGGGUGGGGAAGGACGUGAGAGAGAGAGAGAAUACCAAAGAGCACACUCACUUAUCAAGAGGUUUGGACCAUGGCCGAUUUGAAAUAUUACUAACCUUGCAUUUUCAAAUUUGAUGCACAACAACCAAGAUGCUAAUACUUUCCUUAGUUUAGAAAAAAAAAAA
rnacentral:lncRNA from 1 species